AAAAGUUGGGUCCUGUUCUCUACUUUUUAAUUGGCCGGAAAAGAGGCAUAAACUCGGAGAACCCAAGACCCCGGCCUGGCGUGCAGCCCCAGCAGCCGGACCAGCCUUGGGCAACAGCGUGCGACGUUCAGCUGUCUGUGUCUCCAGUGCUCCCAUUCCAUCGCACCUGAAUGAGGGAUUUGGGAGGUAAAACAGGCAAAUAAUGAAAUAUACAAAUCUUCAUUGUGCAGUUUUGAUCAGUUGCUUCUCCUAUGCAACCCUCACCCCAAUAGAGACACAGCCUCUCGUCGGAACGCUCCUGCACACCCUUCUCGCAACCCCCACCACCUGCCCCCCACUCCCGACCAGAGCAGCCGCCGUCCUGGUGUCUCCCAUCAGAGGUAAGUGUGGUCUCCCGACCAGAGCAGCCG
rnacentral:lncRNA from 10 species